rnacentral:rRNA from 1 species
GUCUAUGGCCAUACCACCUUGAACAUGCCCAAUCUCCUCUGAUCUUGGAAGCUAAGCAGGGUCAGGCCUGGUUAAUAUUUGGUUGAUGGAGGGU